rnacentral:lncRNA from 10 species
ACUUCUUUAUCUAGGGUAACAACAGCUUCUCCUUUCCCCCCAUUUAUUCCUCUGCUUCUCUGCUGAGAUUCCCAACAAAGAUGCCAAUUAGUGCCAAUUGUCAUGAUGUUUUGAGAUGUAGACACCUGUCUUCUAAUAACUGGACUGAGACCACCAACUCAUUUCAUACAGACCAUCAAACAGACAUCAACUAGUAAUGGCCUACAUUUACUAUCAACCUGGGCUCAAGCCAAGACCUUCUCCCAUGGAACUGCUCAGCAUUCUUGACGGCAAACAACAAGUUCAAUAUGUGCUCACUCUACUCCAAUAAGUGGACCAGUACCUGUGGCAAUAAGUGCCACUAAAUAAUCAUGUCUCCCUCUCAUUCUCUAUGUUACCACCAUAUUUGACCUUUGUAGAGUCAGCCUUUCUUAAGCAAGUAUUUUUAAGACCCACUGAAGUGGAAUGCAGAUUAAGACUUAUGCACAAUUUUUUUAAAUAUGGAAACUACAUUUACAUAUUCAUGUCCCACCAUAAGAUGAGGAGGUAAAGAAGGCUGCUGUAUGUUAAAUUCCAAGAAGCAAAAUAAACAGUAUCAACAUCAGGGAUGCAUGAAUUCCAU